GUGCAGCAGUCGCGAAAACUCUGCAAUACGCGAAAGCGUGACAGGGCUACCCCGAGUGUCGUCCGCUGAGGACGACUUUUCCACGCUGUAAGGAGGCGUGGGAAUAAGGAGAGGGCAAGUCUGGUGUCAGCCGCCGCGGUAAUACCAGCUCUUCGAGUGGUAGGGAUGUUUAUUGGGCCUGAAGCAUCCGUAGCCGGCUGGACAAGUCCUCCGUUAAAUCCAGCGAUUCAAUCGUUGGAUUGCGAGGGAUACUGUUCGGCUAGGGGGUGAGAGAGGCCAACGGUAUUCCCGGGGUAGGGGUGAAAUCCUAUAAUCCCGGGAGGACCACCAGUGGCGAAGGCUGUUGGCUAGAACACGCCCGACGGUGAGGGAUGAAAGCUGGGGGAGCGAACCGGAUUAGAUACCCGGGUAGUCC
rnacentral:rRNA from 1 species